rnacentral:rRNA from 1 species
UACGUAGGGUGCGAGCGUUAAUCGGAAUUACUGGGCGCAAAGCGUGCGCAGGCGGUUUUGUAAGCCAGAUGUGAAAUCCCCGGGCUUAACCUGGGAAUGGCAUUUGGGACUGCAAGGCUCGAGUGCGGCAGAGGAGACUGGAAUUCCUGGUGUAGCAGUGAAAUGCGUAGAUAUCAGGAGGAACACCGAUGGCGAAGGCAGGUCUCUGGGCUGACACUGACGCUCAUGCACGAAAGCGUGGGGAGCAAACAGG